rnacentral:rRNA from 1 species
GAUGAACGCUAGCGGCGGGCCUAAUACAUGCAAGUCGAGGGGUAGAAGAGGCUUGCUUCUUUGAGACCGGCGCACGGGUGCGUAACGCGUAUGCAACCUACCUUCAUCUGGGGGAUAGCCCGGAGAAGUCCGGAUUAAUACCGCAUAAAAUCACAGGAUGGCAUUAUCCAAUGAUCAAACAUUUAUGGGAUGGAGAUGGGAAUGCGUGUCAUUAGCUAGUUGGCGGGGUAACGGCCCACCAAGGCGACGAUGACUAGGGGAUCUGAGAGGAUGGCCCCCCACACUGGUACUGAGACACGGACCAGACUCCUACGGGAGGCAGCAGUAAGGAAUAUUGGUCAAUGGAGGCAACUCUGAACCAGCCAUGCCGCGUGCAGGAAGACUGCCCUAUGGGUUGUAAACUGCUUUUAUUCGGGAAUAAACCUUAUUACGUGUAAUAAGCUGAAUGUACCGAAGGAAUAAGGAUCGGCUAACUCCGUGCCAGCCGCCGCCGUAA